GGGAAUGUGGCUUAGUGGUAGAGUGCUUGCAUAGCAUGCAUGAAACCUGAGUUCAAUUCCUCAGUACCA
rnacentral:tRNA from 1 species